CCUGCCCUGGGAGCUGCCUUCUCUCAUGGUCCCCCGCGGGUGUGCGGCAGAGAGGCCAGGCCGGUGCUGGACGGUCCGGUUGCUUCUGUCCCUCUUCCUGCCCAUCUGGGCCUGGCACGGAUGCUCUGCUCGUGUCCUUGCUAAAACCAGCUGCCUGCCUGGCACAGAGGACUUCUGCUGGCCCCCCUCCCCGGGACUGCGGGGCUCUUUACUCCGCCGCCCCCUCCCCCAUGGCACAAGGCAGAGCGCUCACUUAGAUUAAUUAAUCUGCUGCCCGGCCUGCUCCUCUGGCCCAUCUUUUAUUCAUGGACAAGCGGCGUUCUCUGCUUUACCAGGACGCGAGCAUCAAUAUUUCAUCCUUGCUUCGCCUGCCAGCAUCCCGCUCCCUCCUCCCUGCUUCUCACCGGCUCUAGGACCCGGAGAGCUGGGCCACGCUGGCCUGACCCAGGGCGUCAUCACAGAUGUCCACGCUGCCUUCAGCUUGCCCGCCGUGCCAUCGUGGACUCCAGAGUCUGCGCAAGAAGCCGCCCUUCUGAAUUCAGAAAAGGGACGUUCUUCCCAGGUCCGUGUGGUGUCUGGUGGGCCGGCUCAGGACACCAGGAGGUGGCUGGCUGGGGACCAGUGCUUCCUCCUGGUCCCUCUUCUGCACCUCUCUGGCUCUCUGUCUCUGGCAUCUUCACCUCUAGCUCUGUGGCUCUGCUGCCUGCUUCCUUCAGUCCCUUCUGGACCUGCCUUCUCACUGGCAUGGCUGAAGAUGGGGCCCCGCU
rnacentral:lncRNA from 1 species